AAUCUACUCCCUCCGUUCGGAAUUACUUGUCUCGGAAAUGGAUGUAUCUAGAACUAAAAUACGUCUAGGUACAUCCAUCUUUGCGACAAGUAAUUCCAAACGGAGGGAGUAGCUC
rfam:Triticum aestivum genome assembly, contig: Triticum_aestivum_CS42_TGACv1_scaffold_578900_7BL